UACGGAGGGAGCUAGCGUUGUUCGGAAUUACUGGGCGUAAAGCGCGCGUAGGCGGCUUUGUAAGUUAGAGGUGAAAGCCCGGAGCUCAACUCCGGAACUGCCUUAAAACUGCAUCGCUUGAAUCCAGGAGAGGUGAGUGGAAUUCCGAGUGUAGAGGUGAAAUUCGUAGAUAUUCGGAAGAACACCAGUGGCGAAGGCGGGCUCA
rnacentral:rRNA from 1 species